rnacentral:rRNA from 1 species
AGCAGCCGCGGUAAUUCCAGCUCCAAUAGCGUAUAUUAAAGUUGUUGCAGUUAAAAAGCUCGUAGUUGAACCUCGGGGUCUACCCAUUGGUCAGGCUUAAUUGUCUGCACUGGUGAGAUGGAUCUCUACCUUCUGAGGAACUUUCAUGCCAUUUAUUUGGUGUGAUGGGAAAUCAGGACUGUUACUUUGAAAAAUUAGAGUGUUUAAAGCAGACUAUCGUCUGAAUACAUUAGCAUGGAAUAAUGAAAUAGGACGGACUGAUUCUAUUUCGUUGGUUUCUAGGAUCACCGUAAUGAAUUAAUAGGGAUAGUUGGGGGCAUUAGUAUUCAAUUGUCAGAGUGAAAUUCUUGGAUUCAUUGAAGACUAACUACUGCGAAAGCAUUUGCCAAGGAUGUUUCAUUAAUCAAGAACGAAAGUUAGGGGAUCGAAGACGAUCAGAUACCGUCGUAGUCUUAACCAUAAACUAUGCCCGACUAGGGAUCGGACGAAGUUAAUUUUAUAAUGACG